rnacentral:rRNA from 1 species
UACGAAGGGGGCUAGCGUUGUUCGGAAUUACUGGGCGUAAAGCGCGCGCAGGCGGUUCUUCAAGUCAGAGGUGAAAGCCCAGAGCUCAACUCUGGAAUGGCCUUUGAGACUAGAGAACUAGGGUACGGGAGAGGUGAGUGGAAUUCCUGGUGUAGCGGUGGAAUGCGCAGAUAUCAGGAGGAACACCAAUAGCGAAGGCAGCUCGCUGGGACGGUACUGACGCUAAGGCGCGAAAGCGUGGGGAGCGAACAGG